rnacentral:rRNA from 1 species
AUGAACGCUGGCGGCGUGUUUUAGGCAUGCAAGUCGAACGAAUCUUGUCGCAAGACAAGGUGAGUGGCAAACGGGUGCGUAACACAUUGGUAACCUACCUCAGACACGGGGACAACUCGCCGAAAGGCGAGCUAAUACCCGAUGGUUCUUCCCGUCGCAGGAUGGGAACGUAAAGGCGCAAGCCGGUCUGAGAGGGGCCUAUGGUCUAUCAGCUAGUUGGUGAGGUAAUGGCUCACCAAGGCAAUGACAGAUAGCGGGCGUGAGAGCGCGACCCGCCUCAGUGGGACUGAGACACUGCCCACACUCCUACGGGAGGCUGCAGUCAAGAAUAUUCCCCAAUGGACGAAAGUCUGAGGGAGCGACGCCGCGUGCAGGAAGAAACCCCUCGGGGCGUAAACUGCUUUUCUCUGGGAAUAACCCUGAAGGUACCAGAGGAAUAAGAGGCUGCUAACUUCGU